rnacentral:tRNA from 1 species
GUUAAAAUAGUUUAAACAGAAAAUUUUAAUUUGUGAAUUUAAAGAUGAGGUAGAUCUCUUUUAACA